AGUAGAGGAACGAAGCGAUGGCUUCACCCGAACUGCCGUUGUUCCACUCGACGUUGGAAAUCCGGAAGGGUUGAGUGGAAGCUCUGAAUGGCAGAGGAAAGCGUAGCGUAGAAGCAGUUCGAGUUCUAACAGACGCGGCUGUAGCUUGGUUUCGUCCUCGGUAAAUUCAGAAUGCAAAAAUUGAUGCUUCACUGCAAGUGGAAAGGCUUGGAAUAAAAUAGGACAUGAAAAGCCUUUGUCGAGUCCUCUCCCCGCCUCCUCCCACCCCGCAUACAUUUUCUAACUCCCAGAGCCCUCUCCCUUCCGACACGACUGCUUACCUGAGUAAGGCAGGAGCUACCAGGGUGUGACCAUAAGGAACAACCAGGAGGACUUGGCUAAGCUAUGCACUGCUCGGAAAGGUUUCCACCCAGUCUCUUUGGAAUUGUGCCACUUUAUUCAGGCACCGGUGCCUCGGCGGUGCUUGGCACUCUACUUGCCAAGGGGACUUGUCUCUGCUUUGGUUUGGGUGUACAUUUCUCACUGGGAUUUCUUUGGAAAGCAUUUCAAUUCUUCUUGUACUAUAACAAGAACCAAGAAUGAGGAUGUUUUUCCUCCUGUUCAGCUUUGAGCAAUUUGACUUUAGUAACAGUGGCUCAUCACUAAGGCACUGUUUGGGUGCAGUGAUCGAUACCAACAGAGCUCCAGACGGACUGCCAGGUCCUGUCAUUGCUUGUUCCCUUCAUAUAUGCCAGGCUGUAUUUGGCAGGUGGCUUGGAUUUUGAAUUAGAAAGGGGAUUUUGUCAUCCUAAGUACCUGAUUGAAUUCUUAAAUGUUUCUUCAGUUCUACCUUUUUUUUAAUUAUUAUUUAUUGUCUUCUCUGUUCUACCAAACGCUGGAUGAAAAUAUCUCUUCAUGCACAUUUAAAACACGCUGUGAAGUAUAAAGCUCAAAUCACACAAGAACACAAGAUCAGCUUUCCUUCCAAGCACAUAGUCCUGUUUUCUUAUGGCAGUACAAAAUGAGCAUUUCUUAUGGCUCACAAAAUGAAGUCUUUUGUGCAGAUGCGCAGUAAAUCAUCAGAUUGGAAAAUACAUGGAAAGACCUCCUUAGCUCAGGUUGAACCCUUAGUUGGUUUAGUUACGUUGGUUUUCCAGCCGUCUGAAGUGCCAGGCAGUCUAAUCAUUGUUUCCAUGUCAGUUUUCAAAAAGCUUGCUUGUGAUUCAUGGAACAAGUCAGCAUGGCAGCACUGCAUCUUAGUGGAUCACGGCUCUGAGAGUUGAUGCAGGAAUGUGGAAUCGGUUCUGUUCUGUGCUAGGGGCGGAAUCCUUGCUGUUGUGUUAAGGAGAUUGAGAGUCUGCGUGCUGAAUGGAUGUGGAACUUUUCCUUUAGUCAAAAUGACAAGUUUUGAGCGAUCUGUUCUUUGGUCCUAUUCGCAUCUUUAGUUCCAAAUGAACCCCUGUUCUGUGACCUAACCCUGGAUUGGGGCAUACGCUUAUGAUAUAGAUGUUAUUUGAUGUAUUCAUCUGCGGGGAGUACUUAAAUAUUUUAUGUUGGACUGUAACUUUUAUGGCUUUUUAAAAAAAUAUUUUGAAUCGUUCCAUACCUUUUGUUUUAUUAGUGAUAAAGAUUUUCCUCAAAAAAGAUGAUCCUUAAAAAGAUUGAACGCGAACCUUCAGAAGAGUACUUUUCUUUUGUUAAGAAUGAACAGACAUCUCCCAGUUGCAAUUUAAGCAAAGCAUUUGAUAUUGAUUAUAUGAAUAUCAUCUUAAUAGCCAGUUUUAAUCAAGAACUCACACAAAGAUUUUUGAAGGACUGCUAUGAAAGUUUCCCUGCCCUGAAACCCAGUCUAUACGACUGACACUAGCCUGCCUAUCCUGCAUGGUGCCGAGUUGUAGUAGCGAGCAGCCCCUGUGCGGCAGAACGAAGCUGUGGCUGUGGCUGUGGCUUGGGAAGGGCAGUGGCACUGAAAGCCUCCUGUUGGGUUUUUCAGGUGUUAAAUGUCCCACUUCUUUAUAACAGAGCCAUUCAUGGAGGUGUCUGUUUUGAUAGAGAUUUGCUGCCUUUGCUCCAUAAAAAAUUUGACUGAGUAACAUUACAAGUAAGUGACUUCUGGAAAGAAGCAGCCUUAUGCAGGGAAUUAGCACAGAUGUAUGCCGGUUUUUCUUUUACCCAAUAUUCAAGAAUAACUUUUAAAACCAUAAAAGAAAAUACUUGAAAUUGCACAGCUGAGAACUGAAAGGCAUUGGUAAUUUUAUCUGUCCAAGAAUAAACACACUUCGUGUACUAAGCAGAACCGUGCAGCAGUUUCUCUAAGCAUUUAAUGUAAUGAUCUAAUUGCCUACUGACUUGGUAAAAUCUGCUUCUUGGAAGAUCAGCUAUUUCACACAUUAAUAUCCACCAGAAUACCAAUAUGCCAAUAUUCCUGGGUAGCUCCAUGAUUGCAAAGCACACUAUUUCUUGUUAAGAUACAAUUAUCAGAAAAAUAAAUAGGCAUAUUUCUGGGAAUCUUGCUGUCUUGCUGCAGCUGUUGUUUGUCGGUUUGAGAUCUUUUGCUCAUGACUUCAAAUUUCACUUCAGGCUGCUUGCAGACCUGCACAACCAUUAGUGAAUUAUUUUAUUACUGAAUAAAGUUAGUUGAAAUUAAAUUAAAAAAAAAAAGAUUUUGUUUUAGAACAAAAGGUAAAAAUGCUGUAGUUGUCACGGAUGGUGCAAUUCAGGAGAGCACGGUCACUUUUGUGAAAGUUUAUUUUAAGAAUGAAUCUUCCUGGUACCUAAAUUGUCUUCAUCUAAUUGAGGGGAAUGAGAACAAGCAAAGACAUGGCCCGUCCUACUCACACCCUCCAAACAACUCCAAACCACAAAAGGAUCCCAGCCGAACUGCCAUUUGGGGUUAAGUUUGUUGUACACACAAAGCGUUUCCUGGUUUUCAGGUCUUCUGUUAUACUUAAACAAGAAGAAGCAAUCUAACUUUGUUGCGCUAGAACACCCAUUUCUUUGAAUUACAGUUGCUGCUUUUUCUGCACAGAUCACUGUCAUAGGAGCAUGUGCUGGAAGAACAACUGAAAUGGCUGACAUGCUGCUUUAAUGCAGAGUUGUAUCAUGCAUUCGUUCAGCUGCAAGUUCGGUUGGAACGAUGCUACAAAGACCAGAGAAUCACAGAAUCAUAGGGGUCGGAAGGGACCUCUGGAGAUCAUCUAGUCCACCUUCCUGCUAGAGCAGAAUCUCUGCAGUAGGUGAUGAAGUUCAACUCCUGACCAAUUCAAGUCUUGCUGAAAUCUAAUGCAUGCUAUUGAGGGCAUUAUCCAAACGCCUCAGAAAUACACUACAGAACUUAAAAUGGACCAUCAGGACUUUCUCUUAGUGCUCCCGUUCCCUACUCAUCCAGUUGUGCAACACACUCGGCAGAUGCAGUGGUGGCUGGGUAUUGGGGCAGGAUGCGGGCCUGCUCCCUGGGAAAGGAUGUGGACCUGAUCCCUAGACAGGAUGCAGACCUACUCCCCAUGGCAAGAUACAGGCCUGAUCGUCAGGGCAGGAUGUGGGCCUACUCCCAGCCACUGGGGCUUCUGCAUGUCGGCACUUGGAUGUGACAGCAAUCUGGCACUGGCUUUGCCUGUGGGUGAGAAGCAGCUUACUCUCCACGUUACUGCUAUGAAGGACUUUGGUGCAGGUGUCCUGAUAACUGUGUGGAAGUGUCUGAGCUGCUUGAUGGCUGUUUGGUGCCUUACAGAAGAGUGCUGUGAGUGUGAGAAAAAAAUACCACAGCCAGGAUAAGUGAUGGAAAGCCUGCUUCUGCUUCAACGAGCCUUAAAAAAAGAAGGAAUUGGGACUUCUAAACAACGUGCUAUCACUGAACUAGCAAGUGGCCCUUGUUCUGACAGCUCUGCUUCAAGAACACCGAUUUGAACUGAUGACAUUGCAAUGCCAGUGUUUUGCUGAAAAACAAUAACUACAGGAUGUCAAGUGAGACAAUCAGAUGGCAAAUUCAAAAUCUGUGACAUUCCUCAUGGAGUCUCCAGUCAAACUUUGAAUGGUUUCUGAUGUUAUAAAUCUUGCUUGACCAAACCACACACUGGGCAAAAUUAUGGAAGGAGAAGGUGAUACUGGAGUAUCCUGAACUUCAGAUUGCUGGAGGCUUCGAGAGAACAUCAAACAGGAACCUUGUGCCUCCAUCUGUGUUAGUAUGCAGUCAUAUCAUCUCCUAGUUUGGAAGCCAGCAGUCA